GACGAACCGUCCAAACGUUAUUCGGAAUCACUGGGCUUAAAGGGUGCGUAGGCGCCCGGCAAGUUGGGUGUGAAAUCCCUCGGCUCAACCGAGGAACUGCGCCCAAAACUGCCAGGCUAGAGGGAGGCAGAGGUGAGCGGAACUUAGGGUGGAGCGGUGAAAUGCGUUGAGAUCCUAAGGAACACCUGUGGCGAAAGCGGCUCACUGGGUCUCUUCUGACGCUGAGGCACGAAAGCUGGGGGAGCGAACGGGAUUAGAUACCCCCGUA
rnacentral:rRNA from 1 species